rnacentral:snRNA from 1 species
GUGCUCGCUUUGGCAGUACAUAAACUAAAAUUGGAACGAUACAGAGAAGAUUAGCAUGGGCCCUGCACAAGGAUGACACGCAAAUUCGUGAAGCGUUCCGUAUUUUU